UGACCUCGGCUCAGUCGUGAUUACCCGC
rnacentral:rRNA from 1 species